UUCAUUUCCGAAAACAGCAUUUCGGAAGUGAACUUCCGAAAUACUGCGCGUUCUGCAGAUUUAUUAAAACACUCCCCCUCCCCCAUUCAUUUACCCUAACUCAAAUCAAAAACAAGCAAAGGCGAAAAUUUGUGCAAACACACUUCCAAGGCUGCAUCAAGGCUCCAAUCACAUUGCUAUACAACAUUCAAAAGCCCACAAAUCACUCAAUUUGAACAUGUCAGGCAACCAACCAGCACGCAUCAGACAGGGUAGGGAGACCCAGACUGCGUCAGCUACACAGGGAAUGGGUGGCGCUAAGGGAAAAAAGGAGGUGAAGGAGAAGAAGAAGGUUUCGACCGGCUCUACUUCUCGUUCCCAGGGGGCCCGGGGCCCGGAUGCUCAAGCUCAACUAUCUGGCGUGAGAGUCGUGGUUGAUGCUGAUGGUUCUGAGACUGAGUGGGAUGAGGAUUGGUAUCAGUAUCUUCAUUCGGAGGAGUUCGCUCGUCGGGCAGAAUAAUGUGUUUUUGUUUUGUUUGAUGUGUAUUUUGUAACGCUCGUCGGGCAGAAUAACGUGUUUUUGUUUUGUUUGACGUGUUUUGUUUUGUUUUGUUUUGAUUUCGGAUUGUAUCUUUCGCACAGUG